rnacentral:rRNA from 1 species
GAUUAACGCUAGCGGCAGGCCUAAUACAUGCAAGUUGUACGGGAUUAUUGGUAGCAAUACUGAUAUGAGAGUAGCGCACGGGUGCGUAACACGUAUGCAACCUACCUUUAACUGGGGAAUAGCUCACCGAAAGGUGAAUUAACACCGCAUAAAAUCACAGAAGGACAUCCUUUAAUGAUUAAAUCUCCGGAGGUUAAAGAUGGGCAUGCGUCCGAUUAGCUAGNGGCGGGGUAAUAGCCCACCAAGGCAACGAUCGGUAGCUGGUCUGAGAGGAUGAUCAGCCACACUGGGACUGAGACACGGCCCAGACUCCUACGGGAGGCAGCAGUGGGGAAUAUUGGACAAUGGGCGAAAGCCUGAUCCAGCAAUGCCGCGUGUGUGAAGAAGGCCUGCGGGCUGUAAAGCACUUUC